GCCCUAGUAGCUUAACCUCUAAAGCACCGGUCUUGUAA
rnacentral:tRNA from 1 species